UUUUUCCUGGGAUGUGCACUCUCCAAAGCAAGCAAAGUCUUUAGGAAGCUCUGGGAUGGAGGGAUGGGUGCCCCUUUGUGAUGGGAGGAGGAUUCUCUUCCCAGGACCAGCGCUUGCCUGGCUGCAGUGUGGCCACAAACCCAGGAACGCCUUGCUCAGCCCCAGGGGAGACAGACAGCGCUAAACCCCGGGGCUGGCUCUGGGAAAUGUGUUGCUCUGUGCUUUUUGCACCGAAUUCCCAGGCUCUCCGGGCAUGUUCACAAGGGAAUAUUGACAUUUGGGACCAAGGGAUGGAAAACUGGGCUGUGAGCUGCUGGAGCUGUUAUCAAGGAUAUUUAUCCCAGCAACUUUCCCCUGCAGGACUUCUCAAGGUUGUGCUUCUUUUUCUCCAUUCCCACUCUCUGAAUGCCAUCACUAAAAUGCACCUGUCCUGCCUCACCUGUCCCUUGCAGCCCAUGUGGGGAGCAGCAGGGAGGAAAAUCAGACCUGGAGCCCAUUCAAAGGCAGAAACGGCAUGCUGCCCUCCCCAGGGAUCCCUCAGAGGCUGCUGGAUGUGCCAGUGGAGCUGGAAGGAGCCCAUCAUCCCAAGGGUGGCUCUGCAGCUGCUCUCCUGCUGUCCCCUUUGGUGUGACAAUGACGUGGGGACAGGGCACAGACCUGGCAUGGAGGCUGCACCCCAAAACCCUCUCUGAGGAGAGCUCUCAUCUUGAAAAACAGAAUAAUUAUGGAGCGACAUGGAGGAAGAAUGUAGAACAUGGAGCAAUGAUCAGUAAAAUUUAAAAGCUUUGGAGGUGGAGUUCCCAGUGAGUUUCCUGAAGUUUGGAUACAUACCCAAACUUCCUUGAACCUUUUGGGGCCUAAUUAAAUUUGAGGGGACUGAUAAAAAAAACAUGCAUGGAAGAGAAAACUUUCUUGCUAUGGAAAAAAACUGCUUAAUAAAACAGAUUAUGUGCAAAAUAGAAAUCUGGGC
rnacentral:lncRNA from 1 species